rnacentral:rRNA from 1 species
UACGUAGGGGGCAAGCGUUGUCCGGAAUCAUUGGGCGUAAAGAGCGUGUAGGCGGCCAGAUAAGUCCGCUGUGAAAUCUCGAGGCUCAACUUCGAGCUGUCGGUGGAAACUGUCUGGCUAGAGUCCGGAAGAGGAGAGUGGAAUUCCUGGUGUAGCGGUGAAAUGCGCAGAUAUCAGGAAGAACACCAAUGGCGAAGGCAGCUCGCUGGGACGGAACUGACGCUGAGACGCGAAAGCGUGGGGAGCGAACAGG